AACGGGAACGGGAGCGAAUCGACCGCGAGCGGCUGCAGCGGCACCGCGACCACAACGGCGCCUGGAGGAGGGAGUGGGACGCGCAGAAACCCGAGGCCUUGUUCUCGGGGGUCCCGGAGGAGCCCGAGGGGGGGGGGGCCCCCCCCGGCCCCCCCCCCCCCACCCUGGCCGAGUUCUUGCCCCUCCCCCCGCGCGGCCGGCGGAGGCGGGGCCGAGCCCGGGGGGAGGGGCGGCCCUACAGUUUCCACGACGAUCGCUGGGAGCCGCAGCCGGAGCCUGAGAGGCCCCAGGUCCCCGAGAAGGUUCCGGAAGGCGGCGCCGCCCCGGGGGGGGUCCCGCGGGGGUCCCAGGAGGACUCGGACCAGUGGGAGGAUCUGAGCGAGGACGAGGAGGAGGAGGAGGAGGAGGAGGAGGAGGAGGAGGAGGAGGAAGGCCCCGGCUCGGAGCAGCGCGAACCAGUGACCCCCAGCGACCCCCGGUGCGUCCCAGUUCAAACCAGUUCAAACCAGUGACCCCCAGUUUAAACCAGUGACCCCCCGGUGCGUCCCAGUUCAAACCAGUGACCCCCAGUGACCCCCCCGGUGCGUCCCAGUUCAAACCAGUUCAAACCAGUGACUCCCAGUUCAAACCAGUGACCCCCCGGUGUGUCCCAGUUUAAACCAGUGACCCCCAGUGACCCCCCCGGUGCGUCCCAGUAUGGCCCAGUUCAAACCAGUGACCCCCAGUCGCUCCCAGUUCACACCAGUCCCUCCCAGUUCAAACCAGUGACUCCCAGUUUAAACCAGUGACCCCCCCAGUGCGUCCCAGUUCAAACCAGUAACUCCCAGUGACCCCCGGUGCGUCCCAGUAUGGCCCAGUUCAAACCAGUGACCCCCAGUCGCCCCCAGUUCACCCCAGUCCCUCCCAGUUCAAACCAGUGACUCCCAGUUCAAACCAGUGACCCCCGGUCCGUCCCAGUAUGGCCCAGUUCAAACCAGUUCAAACCAGUGACCCCCAGUUCAAACCAGUGACCCCCAGUGACCCCGUGCCCCAGUUCAAACCAGUUCAAACCAGUGACUCCCAGUGACCCCUCCAGUCCCUCCCAGUUCACACCAGUGACCCCCAGUUCACACCAGUCCCUCCCAGUCUCUCCCAGUUCACACCAGUGACCCCCAGUCCCUCCCAGUCCUUCCCAGUCCCUCCCAGUUCACACCAGUACCCCCUCCCCCCAGUCCCUCCCAGUUCACACCAGUAACCCCCAGUCCCUCCCAGUUCACACCAGUAACCCCCAGUCCCUCCCAGUUCACACCAGUAACCCCAGUCCCCCCAGUCCCUCCCAGUUCACACCCCAGUCCCUCCCAGUCCCUCCCAGUUCACACCAGUAACCCCCAGUCCCUCCCAGUCUCUCCCCCAGCCCAGGGCGGGGUCCCGGAGCCGCCCCUCCCCCCCCCGAGCCCCUGCCGGAGCCCCCCGGAGACCCCGGAGCGAAACGGGACCCCCCCCGACGGUACUGGGGAUACUGGGGGGGACUGGGACGGACUGGGAGGGAACUGGAAGGGAACUGGGAUGAACUGGGAGGGAACUGGGAGGGGGUAGGGGGGAACUGGGAGGG
ensembl:lncRNA